rnacentral:rRNA from 1 species
CAGUAGCCGCGGUAAAACAGAGGGUGCGAGCGUUAAUCGGAUUUACUGGGCGUAAAGCGUGCGUAGGCGGCUUCUUAAGUCGGAUGUGAAAUCCCUGAGCUUAACUUAGGAAUUGCAUUCGAUACUGGGAAGCUAGAGUGUGGGAGAGGAUGGUAGAAUUCCAGGUGUAGCGGUGAAAUGCGUAGAGAUCUGGAGGAAUACCGAUGGCGAAGGCAGCCAUCUGGCCUAACACUGACGCUGAGGUACGAAAGCAUGGGGAGCAAACAGGAUUAGAUACCCCGGUAGUCCCUGUCUCUUAUAC